AAGUCGAGCGGACAGAUGGGAGCUUGCUCCCUGAUGUUAGCGGCGGACGGGUGAGUAACACGUGGGUAACCUGCCUGUAAGACUGGGAUAACUCCGGGAAACCGGGGCUAAUACCGGAUGCUUGUUUGAACCGCAUGGUUCAAACAUAAAAGGUGGCUUCGGCUACCACUUACAGAUGGACCCGCGGCGCAUUAGCUAGUUGGUGAGGUAAUGGCUCACCAAGGCAACGAUGCGUAGCCGACCUGAGAGGGUGAUCGGCCACACUGGGACUGAGACACGGCCCAGACUCCUACGGGAGGCAGCAGUAGGGAAUCUUCCGCAAUGGACGAAAGUCUGACGGAGCAACGCCGCGUGAGUGAUGAAGGUUUUCGGAUCGUAAAGCUCUGUUGUUAGGGAAGAACAAGUACCGUUCGAAUAGGGCGGUACCUUGACGGUACCUAACCAGAAAGCCACGGCUAACUACGUGCCAGCAGCCGCGGUAAUACGUAGGUGGCAAGCGUUGUCCGGAAUUAUUGGGCGUAAAGGGCUCGCAGGCGGUUUCUUAAGUCUGAUGUGAAAGCCCCCGGCUCAACCGGGGAGGGUCAUUGGAAACUGGGGAACUUGAGUGCAGAAGAGGAGAGUGGAAUUCCACGUGUAGCGGUGAAAUGCGUAGAGAUGUGGAGGAACACCAGUGGCGAAGGCGACUCUCUGGUCUGUAACUGACGCUGAGGAGCGAAAGCGUGGGGAGCGAACAGGAU
rnacentral:rRNA from 1 species